UCAUAAGACCGUACCCGAAACCGACACAGGUGGACUGGUAGAGUAUACCAAGGCGCUUGAGAGAACUAUUCUGAAGGAACUCGGCAAAAUGCAUCUGUAACUUAGGGAGAAAGAUGACCCAUUUCUGGGCAACCAGGAGUGGGUGGCACAAACCAGGGGGUAGCGACUGUUUACUAAAAACACAGGGCUCUGCAAAGUCGAAAGACGAAGUAUAGGGCCUGACGCCUGCCCAGUGCCUGAAGGUUAAGAGGAGAUGUGCAAGCAUUGAAUUGAAGCCCAGGUGAACGGCGGCCGUAACGAUGACGGUCCUAAGGUAGCGAAAUUCCUUGUCGGGUAAGUUCCGACCCGCACGAAUGGCGUAGCGACUUCCCCGCUGUCUCCAGAGUAGACUCAGCGAAAUUGAAUUCCCCGUGAAGAUGCGGGGUUCCCGCGGUUAGACGGAAAGACCCCGUGCACCUUUACUGCAGCUUUACACUGGCAUUAGGAAUUAAAUGUGUAGGAUAGGUGGGAGACUUAGAAGUGAGGGCGCAAGCCUUCAUGGAGUCGUCCUUGAAAUACCACCCUUUUGAUUUUUGGUGUCUAACUAAGGUCCGUGAAUCCGGAUCUAGGACAAUGUAUGGUGGGCAGUUUGACAGGGGCGGUCGCCUCCUAAAUAGUAACGGAGGCGUGCGAAGGUAGGCUCAAUCUGGUCGGAAAUCAGAUGUUAGAGUGCAAUGGCAUAAGCCUGCCUGACUGCGAGACUGACAGGUCAAGCAGAGACGAAAGUCGGUCAUAGUGAUCCGGUAGUCCUGAGUGGAAGGGCUAUCGCUCAACGAAUAAAAGGUACGCCGGGGAUAACAGGCUGAUGAUUCCUAAGAGCUCAUAUCGACGGAAUCGUUUGGCACCUCGAUGUCGACUCAUCACAUCCUGGGGCUGAAGCAGGUCCCAAGGGUUCGGCUGUUCGCCGAUUAAAGUGGUACGUGAGUUGGGUUUAGAACGUCGCGAGACAGUUCGGUUCCUAUCUGCCGUGGGUGUUGGAAAUUUGAGAGGAUCUGUCUUUAGUACGAGAGGACCGAGAUGGACAUACCUCUAGUGCGCCAGUUGUCACGCCAGUGGCAUAGCUGGGUAGCUACGUAUGGAAGGGAUAACCGCUGAAAGCAUCUUAAGCGGAAAACCCACCUCAAAACAAGAUUUCCCCAUUAGAGCCGUAGAAGACCACUACGUUGAUAGGCCAGGUGUGUAAGCAUGGUAACAUGUGUAGCUUACUGGUACUAAUAGCUCGAUUGAUUC
rnacentral:rRNA from 1 species